GGGAGAGAGAGAGUCUCAUAACUAGAGAGAGAAUUUACAUUAAGAAAAACUAGAGAGAGAGAGCAUGAGAAACAUACCAAGUAAGCUCAUAUACAUAAUUUCAGAGAUUGAAGUAUUUUGUUUCUAAGAAAAAAAAGACAAAAAAACGUAUUUUCUAAUACUACAAGGCCCUUUUCUCUUGAAUUGAACCCUAUUUCUAAAUCGAAAGAGAGAAUGAGAGAGAGAGAGAGAAUUUACAUUAAGAAAAAGUAGAGAGAGAAAGCAUGAUAACUAACUGCAUGAGGCCUUUUUCUCUUGAGUUGCAGAGUCAUUAGAAGCAGCAGGGGUCUUAUGGAGAGAGAACAUAGAGGCAGAGUUGAGAUGAACAUGAGAGUAGAUAGAGAAAUCAUCCAUGACCACUUUCUCUCUCCUCUUUGCGCUUCCUUGCGGGGACCCUGAACCUGAGGGGCACCAGUAAAAGGGGUCGUAGAAGGCGCCACCACGAGCGUUGCCCCGAGCCAGCGAACCCAAGGAAGGCUCGGACAUCUCUGCAACCCAGGAAAAGCUUAUCUCACUCUUCUUUCUCACUCUUCUUCUUAAUAAUGAUAUCUAUUAGAGAGAGAUUCUAUAUGCAAGACAGGAGACG
rnacentral:lncRNA from 1 species